rnacentral:rRNA from 1 species
GUAGGGAAUAUUGGGCAAUGGAUGAAAGUCUGACCCAGCCAUGCCGCGUGCAGGAUGAAGGCGUUAUGCGUUGUAAACUUCUUUUGUAUGGGAAGGAUGACAGGGAUUUAUCCUUGGAGAGACGGUACCAUACGAAUAAGCACCGGCUAACUCCGUGCCAGCAGCCGCGGUAAUACGGAGGGUGCAAGCGUUCUCCGGAAUCACUGGUUUUACAGGGUACGUACGCGGUUAAUUAAGUCAGUAGUGAAAGGCUGUCGCUCAACGACGGAUGUGCUAUUUAUACUGGUUAACUUGACUCAGGUUAGAGUUGGCGGAAUGGGUCAUGUAGCGGUGAACUGCUUACAUAUGACUUGGAACACCGAUAGCGAAGGCAGCUGACUGAGCCUUGAGUGACGCUGAGGUACGAAAGUGUGGGUAGCGACCAGGAUUAGAUACCCGAGUAGUCC